GGUGCAAAGAGUCUACUCUGCCUACUCUGUCAUUCAAAGCUUGGUUGAGAACUGGCUAAAUAAGUGAGAUCACUUCUAUACAAAUAGAAUACCAUGCACAGAUUAUAAAAUGAUUCUAUGUAUGAAACCAUGUGUAUACAUGUAUAUAAUUAGCAAACACCCAAACAGUGGCUCUUUAUGGGCAAUAGGAUUAUGAUCAUAACUGUGGAAUAAAGAAGAGACCCAGAGAACAAGAGUGAGUGCCCACUGGGAAGUGUUCUAAACUGCCAAGUUCUACAACGACGUACCAUCCUCAGUGGUAAGGUAAGUUGGCAGCAGGGAAC
rnacentral:lncRNA from 1 species